GUCUUUGUGAACCUUUGACCACAGAUUCACCCAAACAAUGAAUUGCAUUUGUCUGAGAAACAAACAUGAUAAGCUGCUAACGGCCACCUCCCUGUUGUUUUGAAGUCUAUGGAUAAGAUGUGCACAUUGUCAAUGUCGUUACUUAUCAGGAGGACAUGCUUUAAUGCGACUGGUCGAUGUUGAGUAGUGUCAGUACCCUAGUCAGUAGAGUAGCUCAUUCUGAUUGGCUAAUGUAAUCAUUCUAAAGACAGUGAUGAGGUCAAGGAAUGGUUUUAUUACCACAGUGGAACUUUUAAAGAGGCCAAACUCUGUUGUGAGAUAGUGGAGCAGCAGUAUUGAGCCCAUUCUCUACAUCCGUGUAGUUAUCAACUUCACAAACUUGUGGAUAACUUUUGGCUUACAAUCUUAAAAAUUAUACCCAGUUCCUGUUUCUUUCAAAAUAUUUGAAAUGGGGUUUAUUAUUUUAAGCGCUUGAGUUUAUCUCUGCUGUGUGUGUGUGUGUGUGUAAACAAAGAUCUGUCUUCAGCUUCAUGGCUUUGAAUGAUUUGGGGCAAGACAGGCGAGAACAGGUGAUAUGGCGGGUGUGGACAGUGAGAAAUCCUCAGCAUAGGGCUUUCAGGGUCAACCGGAGUUGGAUCCAACAGCUUGUUGAAAAGACUAUUUGUGGACUGAAUGGUUAAAGGGUGAAAGGUUGUAGUGUAUCUAGUCAGUAAACAAUGUGGGGUUUGUCUUUAUGCCCUGUGCUUGCUGAUGGGCAAGUUAUCUCGUGUGAUUCUGCAGUAGGGGAGAGGGUUUGAUUUAAUGCAUUGCAUGUAUUUAAAGGGAUAGAAAAUUCUGUCAUU